UCGAGCGCCGUAGCAAUACGGAGCGGCAGACGGGAGAGUAACACGUGGGAACGUACCCUUUAGGUUCGGAACAACCCAGGGAAACUUGGGCUAAUACCGGAUAAGCCCUCACGGGGAAAGAUUUAUCGCCGAAGGAUCGGCCCGCGUCUGAUUAGCUAGUUGGUGGGGUAAUGGCCCACCAAGGCGACGAUCAGUAGCUGGUCUGAGAGGAUGAUCAGCCUCACUGGGACUGAGACACGGCCCAGACUCCUACGGGAGGCAGCAGUGGGGAAUAUUGGACAAUGGGCGCAAGCCUGAUCCAGCCAUGCCGCGUGGGUGAUGAAGGCCCUAGGGUUGUAAAGCCCUUUCGGCGGGGAAGAUAAUGACGGUACCCGCAGAAGAAGCCCCGGCUAACUUCGUGCCAGCAGCCGCGGUAAUACGAAGGGGGCUAGCGUUGCUCGGAAUCACUGGGCGUAAAGCGCACGUAGGCGGAUUGUUAAGUCAGGGGUGAAAUCCUGGAGCUCAACUCCAGAACUGCCUUUGAUACUGGCGAUCUUGAGUCCGGGAGAGGUGAGUGGAACUGCGAGUGUAAAGGUGAAAUUCGU
rnacentral:rRNA from 1 species